ACCUACAAGGUUCGCAGUUCCUUCGGGAGGCAGCAGUGGGGAAUUUUUCGCAAUGGGCGAAAGCCUGACGGAGUGACGCCGCGUGGGGGACGAAGGCCUUCGGGUCGUAAACCCCUGUCAGAGGGAAAGAAGGGUGUUGGCGUGAAUAGAGCCGGCAUUUGACGGUACCUUCAGAGGAAGCCCCGGCCAAUUCUGUGCCAGCAGCCGCGGUAAUACAGAGGGGGCAAGCGUUGUUCGGAAUUAUUGGGCGUAAAGGGCGUGUAGGCGGGAUGGCAAGUCGGUCGUGAAAUCCUUGGGCUCAACCGAGGAACGUCGGCCGAUACUGCCGUUCUUGAGUCAUGCAGAGGAGAUUGGAAUUCCCGGUGUAGCGGUGAAAUGUGUAGAUAUCGGGAGGAACACCGGUGGCGAAGGCGGGUUUCUGGGCAUUUCCUGACGCUGAGACGCGAAAGCGUGGGGAGCAAACGGGAUUAGAUACCCCGGUAUUCCCCCCUGUAAACGAU
rnacentral:rRNA from 1 species